UGACGCAAAAAUGUUAUCCCAUAUGAUUGGUUUGUGGGACUUCUCUUCCACGGCGGGAACUUCUAGCUCGUUAGUCAGUGCCCCCUCCACCAGAGGAGUACAAGCCCAAGUCUCUAGCCUCUCGUCUGUCUGACAAGUUCCAGACCUCCCUCACCUCCGACCAGGAGAAGGAUGAUGACUUCCAGCCUGAUAGGAAGUGCAUCCACACCCCACCCAUGGAACAGAAAGGAGGUGCUUGGAGCAGUGAGUGGUGUUUAUAGAUGAUGAGCCAGAAGGAGAGAGACCAGUGCCUGGAGCACAGACAUGGAAAGUGGAGCUGAAUACCCAGGCACAGACUAUAAACCUACCCCCUGAUACACACUGCUGAGUGAGUACAUCUAUCUAAACUAAGGAUAUGUUGCCACUUGCUGGGAAGUGCUGAUCUAGGAUCAGCUAAAUUGAUGAACCUUCCCCUCCUG